UCCGGGGGGGGCAAGCGUUGUUCGGAAUUACUGGGCGUAAAGGGCUCGUAGGCGGCCAACUAAGUCAGACGUGAAAUCCCUCGGCUUAACCGGGGAACUGCAUCUGAUACUGGAUGGCUUGAGUUCGGGAGAGGGAUGCGGAAUUCCAGGUGUAGCGGUGAAAUGCGUAGAUAUCUGGAGGAACACCGGUGGCGAAGGCGGCAUCCUGGACCGGCACUGACGCUGAGGAGCGAAAGCCAGGGGAGCAAACGGG
rnacentral:rRNA from 1 species